UUUCCGAAAGCUAAUUAGUGUUAAAUUCUUACUUUAAUGAUUGGGAUUGUUUUCUCUCGGUUUA
rnacentral:tRNA from 2 species